ensembl:lncRNA
CUGGUCCAAAAGCCACCCUGCAGCCUGGAGAGAGAAGGGGCUUGUGUGCCUGCGGCUCCGUCCACAGACCUGCCAUUCACAAGGGCUGAAAGCGCAGCUUCAUGGGCCCGGCCGCCUCGCAGCCAACAGGGCUUUGUAUCUUGUCCUCAGGGAGGGGACACUGGCCGAGACCCCCCUCGUGUUUCUCUCGUCCGCCUUCAGCCAGGCUAGGAUUGCCAGUGCUGGCCCCCGAGUGACCUCCGGAUCUCACUGUGUAGUUCAGGCUGGUUUUGAACUCACUGUGAAGCCUAGUUGAUUCUCCUGCCUCAGCCUCCCGAGCCCUGGGAUUGCAGGUGAGUGCCAUCACUCUCUCCUUCUUAUGAAGCCACCAGCACCCAAUCAGGGCUCCCCAUGACCUUACCUAAUCCUCAUCAUCUCCUGGAGUCCCCACGUGUGAACACCACAGUCAGGUUCAGCUACUUCCUCACAGAGGGGGUCAAAUGUCAACACAUGAGUCUUUGGGGGCCACGACACUGCAUCCAACCAUUGACUUCGCCUUUCUCCAUGCCAGAAGAAGAAAUGAAUGCAGCAGAGGUUUCCAGCUCCUGGGCCAGGCGGAGGGUGACACUUAUUAGCCGUGUGACGUCAGGCAGGUCUACCAGGUCUCUGUUCUUCAGCUCCUCUCCCGUGAAUGCAGGGAAUGACAACGUGGCUCCCAGGUCACCUGAGAAGGCAGGUGCAGGUGUCCCCCCUCAUUUCCAGGUGACCCCCUGGGCCCAGAGAGGGGAAGUAACUCACCUGUGGUCACACAGGUGGUGUUAGUGAUCCCAGGAGAUCUGGGGCCUACAGCUGCUCUUUACCACCUUCCCCGCCACUUGUGCACAUUAAGGGCCCAAGUCCGUGUUGGCUACAGUCAGGACCCUGAAGGCUAGUGCUAGGCAGAGGCAGCAGAAGGAAAG